GAUGAACGCUGGCGGCGUGCCUAAUACAUGCAAGUCGAGCGAACGGACGAGAAGCUUGCUUCUCUGAUGUUAGCGGCGGACGGGUGAGUAACACGUGGAUAACCUACCUAUAAGACUGGGAUAACUUCGGGAAACCGGAGCUAAUACCGGCUAAUAUUUUGAACCGCAUGGUUCAAAAGUGAAAGACGGUCUUGCUGUCACUUAUAGAUGGAUCCGCGUUGCAUUAGCUAGUUGGUAAGGUAACGGCUUACCAAGGCAACGAUGCAUAGCCGACCUGAGAGGGUGAUCGGCCACACUGGAACUGAGACACGGUCCAGACUCCUACGGGAGGCAGCAGUAGGGAAUCUUGCGCAAUGGGCGAAAGCCUGACGGAGCAACGCCGCGUGAGUGAUGAAGGUCUUCGGAUCGUAAAACUCUGUUAUUAGGGAAGAACAUAUGUGUAAGUAACUGUGCACAUCUUGACGGUACCUAAUCAGAAAGCCACGGCUAACUCCGUG
rnacentral:rRNA from 1 species